rfam:Triticum aestivum genome assembly, contig: Triticum_aestivum_CS42_TGACv1_scaffold_407532_5BL
GUAGUACUCCCUCCGUCCGAAAAUACUUGUCAUCAAAAUCAAUAAAAAGGAUGUAUCUAGUACAACUAGAUACAUCCUUUUUAUUGAUUUUGAUGACAAGUAUUUUCGGAUGGAGGGAGUAUUUC